rnacentral:rRNA from 1 species
CAGUGGGGAAUAUUGGACAAUGGGCGCAAGCCUGAUCCAGCAAUGCCGCGUGUGUGAAGAAGGCCUGCGGGUUGUAAAGCACUUUCAGUGGGGAGAAAGAUCCUUGUACUAAUAAUACGAGGGGAUGAUGUUACCCACAGAAGAAGCACCGGCUAACUCUGUGCCAGCAGCCGCGGUAAUACAGAGGGUGCGAGCGUUAAUCGGAAUUACUGGGCGUAAAGGGUGCGUAGGUGGUUAUAUAAGUUAGGUGUGAAAUUCCCGGGCUUAACCUGGGGACUGCGCCUGAUACUGUAUAGCUAGAGUACUGUAGAGGAAAGUGGAAUUUCCGGUGUAGCGGUGAAAUGCGUAGAUAUCGGAAGGAACAUCGGUGGCGAAGGCGACUUUCUGGACAGAUACUGACACUGAGGCACGAAAGCAUGGGGAGCAAACAGGAUUAGA